UACGGAGGGUGCAAGCGUUGCUCGGAAUUAUUGGGCGUAAAGGGUAGGUAGGUGGUCUCAUUUGUCUGGGGUGAAAGCCUUGAGCUUAACUCAAGAAGUGCCCCGGAAACGGUGAGACUAGAGUCUUGGAGAGGGUCGUGGAAUUCCCGGUGUAGCGGUGAAAUGCGUAGAGAUCGGGAGGAACACCAGAGGCGAAGGCGGCGACCUGGACAAGUACUGACACUGAGGCACGAAAGCGUGGGGAGCAAACAGG
rnacentral:rRNA from 1 species